UCAGAAUGAACGCUGGCAGCAUGGAUUAGGCAUGCAAGUCGAACGAGACUCCGGGCUUCGGCCCGGAUGACAGUGGCGCAAGGGUGAGUAACACGUGAGCAAUCUGCCCCGAAGUCCGGGAUAGCCCAUGGAAACGUGGAUUAAUACCGGAUGUGGCUGUAUGAACUGCGGUUUUAACAGUUAAAGAUUCAUUGCUUCGGGAUGAGCUCGCGGUCCAUCAGCUUGUUGGUGAGGUAAUGGCUCACCAAGGCGACGACGGAUAGCUGGUCUGAGAGGAUGACCAGUCACACUGGGACUGAGACACUGCCCAGACUCCUACGGGAGGCUGCAGUCGAGAAUCUUCCGCAAUGGGCGCAAGCCUGACGGAGCAAUGCUGCGUGCCGGAUGAAGGCCUUCGGGUCGUAAACGGCUGUCACUCGGGACGAAUUUUGACGGUACCGAGAGAGGAAGCCACGACUAACUACGUGCCAGCAGCCGCGGUAAUACGUAGGUGGCGAGCGUUAUUCGGAAUUAUUGGGCCUAGAGGGUUCGUAGGGGGUAAUGUAAGUCCGGUGUGAAAUCUCGAGGCUCAACCUCGAAACUGCAUUGGAAACUGCGUUACUUGAGUGUCAGAGAGGAAAGCGGAAUUCCUGGUGUAGCGGUGGAAUGCGUAGAUAUCAGGAAGAACACCGACGGCGAAGGCAGCUUUUCUGGCUGACAACUGACCCUGAUGAACGAAAGCUAGGGUAGCGAACAGGAUUAGAUACCCUGGUAGUCCUAGCUGUAAACGUUGUGCACUUGGAUGUGGGCGGAUUUGGUCCCGUCUGUGUCUGAGCGAA
rnacentral:rRNA from 1 species